AGAAGUUCCUGCAACCCCAAGUUAGUAUUGCACCAGCCAGUAGCCACGCGGACGAGCGAGAUAGAGAAACAAAGUGUCAGGGUUGCGUGAUGCUUUUGCAUAGUCAGGUAUGCUAUGCUUUUCACUGUCAGCAGAGCGUCUUGGUUUAAGGUUAUGACAGUCCGAGUUGGCUCCUUGGUCUUUGGCAGCUUGAACCUGGAACCAUCAACAGUCAUAGACUAAGGAUGAGCAGUGCAAAUGAAGACACACACAGCUGGCAAAGGCCAUCAUGCUUUUGGUUGUAGUACCUGUAAUCGUCUGAACUGCUUCACUGAAAUCUUAUCAGGAGUUACACAGGGGACUGG